ensembl:lncRNA
GAGGACAGGCCCGCUACAUAAGGCGUGUUGGGGCGGAAGCGCGGGAGCGCAGCGCAGGGCCGACAUGGCGUAGCCACAGCUCGCGGGUCAGGCGGGGCGCGGAGCGCGGAGCCUGGCCCGCAAAGCCUCCGUCGGCCGCUGUCGCAGGACGGAGCGAAGUCGCAGUCGGGAUGCAGUCGAUAAGCGGUUAUAAACUGUAGCGAACCUCGAUGCCUUGUUUUUUGCUUCAAGACAAGCUUUGAACUCAUCUUCGACAUUUUUUAAGGCGACAACAUUUCAGGAAGACAAAAGGGUUGCAUUGGAAUUGGUGCCAUGCCCAUCAAAAGCUCCCCAGAACAUGGAAGAAACAAGGAGAGUUUCCGAGAACGCAAAGGCUCCUCUACGUGUCAUUAUUCCAAAUAAGACUGACGCUAAACUGCCACCUGAAAAACCAACUGGGAUGUAGCAUUGGUCAGUCUGAGACACAAUUUGACACUGGUGACUCCCCAAUACUUGGCAGAAGGUUAAUGUGUGAUUUGGAAGAGGUCCAUGUUAUUAAUCCACCAGACUUCAAUCCGUAUUCUCUUAUUUAUUUCAUUUUUUUUUUUUUUACCAUUUAACCAUGCAUGUGCAGGUUCAGUUCCUGUGCCGUCAAUCUGAAUCCAAGGUUUUGGAAGGGCAGUUGGGUGUUCUGUUAGCACAAAUAAUUCUGUUAGCUCUAGUUAUUUUCCUUUUUGAAAACUAUAAAAUCAUGAAAUAUUUAAUUUGUCAACUUUUAUGGUGGUCAUAGUUUGAGUUCUGUUGAAAUUAGUCAUAAAACGUCAGUCACUCAUCAACAUGAGCACAGCCGUAAAUUAGGUGAGCUGGGUAGAUGCGUCUCAGACUGGAUGGGGUUCAGUCCUUGGUUUGUAAUGUAGUGUGGUAGGUAGCUUAAAAUAGCUUAGAAAUUAACAUAGAUAAAUUUUUAGGUUAGAAGCUAUGAGAUAUUAGAUGCUCAUUUAAAUAUCAGAAUAUUGUAAUGUAGAUAAAUACCUCAAGGAUUGGAAUGCAAAAGUAUCCUUAUGGGGGACAAAAAAAAAUAGACUAAAUGCAGUGUAAGCCUUAACAUGUAUUAAAGUAGACAUAGCAGCAAUAACAGUGUUAUGCAUGAACGUAAUUUAGUAGACUUUGUGGAAUGGAAACGGAUAGAAUACUUCUGGCUCUGGUCCGUGUUUUUUUCUGGGAAAGAAUGGGAUCGUUUUAUGUUGUACUCGAUAUAUAACACUACCAGACUGAACUGAACUGAAAUCACAAGCGCCAAAAGAAAUUAGUUUUAACAAGUGGCGAUGGAAAGAAAGAGCCGAUGCGAGUAUGUGAGGGGAGGUACCAUUCAUUCCAGCAUGUCUGCAUAUUAUUAUCAUUGUAUAGUGUCAUAAUCACAUCCACAGAAGUAUAUACAUUUAUCGUAAGUGAAAGCAAUAGAAGCUGUAUAAUGGUUAAUAUAUUCCUUUCUGGGCACGCUAAGAUGUAGGUCCACCGUUGGCAUAGCAACAGCGGCUCUCCCUAUCUCGGUAGAGGCAGAGGGGAAUAGACCCAGGUGAAAACACAGAUUUUGCUAAAAGGAAAAAAAAAGAAAAGAAGCUGCUUAAAGACAAUAAGCAUGUGACUUUUCUCAUCCGUACAGUACUGUGUAAACCACACCAUGUUAACAGGAGCAUAACACUGCGAAAGCAACCUCUACACUAAAAUACGGACAUGGUGUAGUGAAAAUGUUUGUCUGAAUAGUUUGUCAAAUAUGAAUGCCGUGGAAGUAGUGUGUGCAUGACGGAACAACUAAAGAAAUGUUUAUAACUGCAUGCAAUAAUGAUGUUCUGUUAAAAUAAGACAAUGUCAAAAUGUGGAAAUUAUUACAAAUUAAUGUUGUGGUUCUUUUUUUUUUUUUUUUUUUUAAAGAUUAAGGACUUUGUAUCUGAUGUUAAUACCGGUUUUGGCAUAAUUGGGACAAGGAAAAAUUAAGACUGUAUUCUUAUUUCCAGGAUGCACUGUAAUCUCUUAAGAUGUGUGAGAUAUACAUGUGUAUAUUUGACACUGCAAUAAGCACAAAAUCCCUGAAAUCAAAAUAUAAAAAAUAAUCAUGUUUCCUAAAUUUUGUAGAGCACAAAAGUGAUUCCCUGGUAUAGAUUAUUUGGGGGAAAAAACAAGCCAAAUGCUUAUUGCAAGGUCACAUUUCUUUUAUCACUAAAUACAGUAAAUAGAAACUUUCUUUUACUAACUGAUCAAGGAAGACAAAGUAUAACCAAGUGUGUUAGUGAACGUUUUGUUAACCAUUGAACGAGAAGACUGUAGGUCUGGGUCAAACUAUGCACUUAAAAAGGGGUGUUAAGCAUGCUAAGAAAAGCCUCUUUAAUUUUUGUGACAUUACAAAAAAAUGCAUCAUAUGUAGCAAUAAUAAACAAAGCAUGGUGCCAAUCA